rnacentral:rRNA from 1 species
GGGUCCGCACAAGCGGUGGAGCAUGUGGUUUAAUUCGAUAAUACGCGAGGAACCUUACCUAGGCUAGAAUGCGAGUGACAUCCAGAGAGAUCUGGAGUUCUUCGGACACAAAGCAAGGUGCUGCAUGGUUGUCGUCAGCUCGUGCCGUGAGGUGUUGGGUUAAGUCCCGCAACGAGCGCAACCCCUGUUUUUAGUUGCCAGCAAGUAAUGUUGGGGACUCUAGAAAGACUGCCUGCGUAAGCAGAGAGGAAGGAGGGGACGACGUCAAAUCAGCAUGGCCCUUAUGCCUAGGGCUACACACGUGCUACAAUGGCCGGUACAGAGAGCAGCCACUUCGCAAGAAGGAGCG